rnacentral:tRNA from 1 species
UUCCUGAUGGUCCAGUGGUUAGGACUCUGUGCUUCUACUGCAGGGAAUAUGGAUUCAAUCCCUAGUCGGGGAA